UACAGAGGGUGCGAGCGUUGUUCGGAAUUAUUGGGCGUAAAGAGCUCGUAGGCGGCCAACUAAGUCAGACGUGAAAUCCCUCGGCUUAACCGGGGAACUGCGUCUGAUACUGGAUGGCUUGAGGUUGGGAGAGGGAUGCGGAAUUCCAGGCGUAGCGGUGAAAUGCGUAGAUAUCUGGAGGAACACCGGUGGCGAAGGCGGCAUCCUGGACCAAUUCUGACGCUGAGGAGCGAAAGCCAGGGGAGCAAACGGG
rnacentral:rRNA from 1 species